AGAGUUUGAUCCUGGCUCAGAACGAACGCUGGCGGCGUGGAUAAGGCAUGCAAGUCGUACGGACCCAUCAUCCGGAUCCCUUCGGGGUGAAAGAUGUGAAGGUUAGUGGCAAAAGGGUGAGUAUCGCGUGAGUAACUUGCCUGUGGUUUAAGGAUAACAGUCCGAAAGGACUGCUAAUACUGUAUAAUACCAUAGUUCCCUCGGGUUUUAUGGUUAAAGGUGGCCUCUGUUUCAAGCUACCGACCGCAGAGAGGCUCGCGUCCUAUUAGCUUGUUGGUAGGGUAAAGGCCUACCAAGGCUACGAUGGGUAGCCGGUUUGAGAGAAUGAUCGGCCACACUGGGACUGAGACACGGCCCAGACUCCUACGGGAGGCUGCAGUCGAGAAUAAUUCGCAAUGGGGGAAACCCUGACGAUGCGACGCCGCGUGAGGGAUGACGGCCUUCGGGUUGUAAACCUCUGUCACCCGGGAAGAACGGUAUAAGGGUUAAUAAUCCUUGUAUUUGACGGUACCGGGAGAGGAAGCACCGGCUAACUCCGUGCCAGCAGCCGCGGUAAUACGGAGGGUGCAAGCGUUGUUCGGAUUUACUGGGCGUAAAGGGAGUGUAGGUGGGAGAUUAAGUCAGAUGUGAAAUCCCUCAGCUCAACUGAGGAACUGCGUUUGAAACUGAUCGUCUUGAGUGUGAGAUGAGAGAGCGGAAUUUUCGGUGUAGCGGUGAAAUGCGUAGAUAUCGAAAAGAACACCCGUGGUGCAAACGGCUCUCUGGCUCAACACUGACACUGAGGCUCGAAAGCUAGGGUAGCGAACGGGAUUAGAUACCCCGGUAGUCCUAGCCAUGAACGAUGUGAACUUGGUGUGGGGAGUAUCGACCCUCUCUGUGCCGAAGCUAACGCGUUAAGUUCACCGCCUGGGGACUACGGCCGCAAGGCUAAAACUCAAAGGAAUUGACGGGGACCCGCACAAGCGGUGGAGCAUGUGGUUUAAUUCGACGCAACGCGAAGAACCUUACCAGGGUUUGACAUGUACUUGACAGCCUGUGAAAGCAGGUCUCUCUUCGGAGCAGGUACACAGGUGCUGCAUGGCUGUCGUCAGCUCGCGUCGUGAGAUGUUGGGUUAAGUCCCGCAACGAGCGCAACCCCUGUCCUUAGUUGCCAUCAUUAAGUUGGGGACUCUAAGGAGACUGCCUGGGAUGACCAGGAGGAAGGUGGGGAUGACGUCAAGUCCGUAUGGCCCUUACGUCCUGGGUUACACACGCGCUACAAUGGCUGGUACAACGGGCUGCAAUACCGUGAGGUGGAGCCAAUCCCUAAAAGCCAGUCUCAGUUCGGAUUGAAGUCUGCAACUCGACUUCAUGAAGUUGGAAUCGCUAGUAAUGGCGGAUCAGCUACGCCGCCGUGAAUACGUUCCCGGGUCUUGUACACACCGCCUGUCACAUCACGAAAGUUGGUUGCACCCGAAGUCGCCGUACCAACCCUUCACUGGGAGGAAAGUGCCGAAGGUGCGAUUGAUAAUUGGGAUGAAGUCGUAACAAGGUA
rnacentral:rRNA from 1 species